GAUUUGGGGAUACUGCCGGGGCGGCUGCUCCGGACACUGGCUCCUAGGGGUCCAAAUACACCGAAGUCUGUACGGAAAGGAGAAAUCACUCUGAAGAUUACAGGUUGGUUACAGGAAAAAGGAAGGCCUCUUUCCUUCCUGACAGUCUCACGUUAAGGUGCCGGAAAAAUCUAAUUUGAUGUUGAAUUCCCUAGUAACUGAGAUGAACAGGAAUUACGUCUCGAUAGUUAAAGGAUGUAUUCUGAUGUGCUUAUUCUUUGCCUUCAGUCCAAACCUCUGCUGUGGAUGUAGAGUGGAAUCUCCACCCAAGAAGGUGCAACUGUUCAAUGUCAAUCCUCCAGAAAUUUCCAAAUUUUUUGCAGAGGUCAUAGUACAUCUAUAAUCAGAAAUAAUCAAUGGACUAUUAAAAAGCAAUGUUGAAUCUUCAACAAUAUAAAAAUGUUAAGUAGAAAACAAAGGAUAAAAUACUAUUUUUAGCAUCACCUUAAUUAUAUUAAAAUAGUCACUGUUUUAGAAGAAAAUACACAGCACAUUAAUGUGCU